rnacentral:rRNA from 1 species
AUUGAACGCUGGCGGCAGGCCUAACACAUGCAAGUCGAGCGGAUGAAGGGAGCUUGCUCCUGGAUUCAGCGGCGGACGGGUGAGUAAUGCCUAGGAAUCUGCCUGGUAGUGGGGGAUAACGUCCGGAAACGGGCGCUAAUACCGCAUACGUCCUGAGGGAGAAAGUGGGGGAUCUUCGGACCUCACGCUAUCAGAUGAGCCUAGGUCGGAUUAGCUAGUUGGUGGGGUAAAGGCCUACCAAGGCGACGAUCCGUAACUGGUCUGAGAGGAUGAUCAGUCACACUGGAACUGAGACACGGUCCAGACUCCUACGGGAGGCAGCAGUGGGGAAUAUUGGACAAUGGGCGAAAGCCUGAUCCAGCCAUGCCGCGUGAGUGAAGAAGGUCUUCGGAUUGUAAAACUCUUUAAGUUGGGAGGAAGGGAAGUAAGUUUAUCCCUUGCUGUUUUGACGUUACCAACAGAAUAAGCCCCGGCUAACUUCGUG